rnacentral:rRNA from 1 species
AUUGAACGCUGGCGGCAUGCUUUACACAUGCAAGUCGAACGGUAACAGGCCUUCAGGUGCUGACGAGUGGCGAACGGGUGAGUAAUGCAUCGGAACGUGCCCAGAGGUGGGGGAUAACGCAGCGAAAGCUGUGCUAAUACCGCAUGUGAUCUGAGGAUGAAAGCGGGGGACCAGGCAGCAAUGUUUGGCCUCGCGCCUUUGGAGCGGCCGAUGUCAGAUUAGGUAGUUGGUGGGGUAAAGGCCUACCAAGCCGACGAUCUGUAGCUGGUCUGAGAGGACGACCAGCCACACUGGGACUGAGACACGGCCCAGACUCCUACGGGAGGCAGCAGUGGGGAAUUUUGGACAAUGGGCGCAAGCCUGAUCCAGCAAUGCCGCGUGCGGGAAGAAGGCCUUCGGGUUGUAAACCGCUUUUGUACGGAACGAAAAGGCUCUGGCUAAUACCUGGGGCUGAUGACGGUACCGUAAGAAUAAGCACCGGCUAACUACGUG